CAACUCUAGUGUCUCUUAAUUUGCGGAUAAAUCUUUCGCCUUUUACCGAAGAUUUCCGUGGGGAGGCACAAUACAAUGAGUCUUACCUCAUUUUUUCAACUCCGUCUUCGCACGUAGU
rfam:Schistosoma mansoni, Puerto Rico, WGS project CABG01000000 data, contig: 0115